CCUACGGGGGGCAGCAGUGGGGGAUAUUGCACAAUGGGGGGAACCCUGAUGCAGCGACGCCGCGUGGGUGAAGAAGCGCCUCGGCGCGUAAAGCCCUGUCAGCAGGGAAGAAAAUGACGGUACCUGAAGAAGAAGCCCCGGCUAACUACGUGCCAGCAGCCGCGGUAAUACGUAGGGGGCAAGCGUUAUCCGGAUUUACUGGGUGUAAAGGGGGCGCAGACGGCGAUGCAAGCCAGGUGUGAAAGCCCAUGGCCCAACCACGGGACUGCUUUGGAAACUGUGUUGCUGGAGUGCAGGAGGGGUAGGCGGAAUUCCUGGUGUAGCGGUAAAAUGCGUAGAGAUUAGGAGGAACAC
rnacentral:rRNA from 1 species